CAGAUUGAACGCUGGCGGCAGGCUUAACACAUGCAAGUCGAGCGGAGAGAGGUAGCUUGCUACUGAUCUUAGCGGCGGACGGGUGAGUAAUGCUUAGGAAUCUGCCUAUUAGUGGGGGACAACAUUCCGAAAGGGAUGCUAAUACCGCAUACGCCCUACGGGGGAAAGCAGGGGAUCAUUAGACCUUGCGCUAAUAGAUGAGCCUAAGUCGGAUUAGCUAGUUGGUGGGGUAAAGGCCUACCAAGGCGACGAUCUGUAGCGGGUCUGAGAGGAUGAUCCGCCACACUGGGACUGAGACACGGCCCAGACUCCUACGGGAGGCAGCAGUGGGGAAUAUUGGACAAUGGGGGGAACCCUGAUCCAGCCAUGCCGCGUGUGUGAAGAAGGCCUUUUGGUUGUAAAGCACUUUAAGCGAGGAGGAGGCUACUCUGGUUAAUACCCAGGGAUAGUGGACGUUACUCGCAGAAUAAGCACCGGCUAACUCUGUGCCAGCAGCCGCGGUAAUACAGAGGGUGCGAGCGUUAAUCGGAUUUACUGGGCGUAAAGCGUACGUAGGCGGCUUUUUAAGUCGGAUGUGAAAUCCCUGAGCUUAACUUAGGAAUUGCAUUCGAUACUGGGAAGCUAGAGUAUGGGAGAGGAUGGUAGAAUUCCAGGUGUAGCGGUGAAAUGCGUAGAGAUCUGGAGGAAUACCGAUGGCGAAGGCAGCCAUCUGGCCUAAUACUGACGCUGAGGUACGAAAGCAUGGGGAGCAAACAGGAUUAGAUACCCUGGUAGUCCAUGCCGUAAACGAUGUCUACUAGCCGUUGGGGCCUUUGAGGCUUUAGUGGCGCAGCUAACGCGAUAAGUAGACCGCCUGGGGAGUACGGUCGCAAGACUAAAACUCAAAUGAAUUGACGGGGGCCCGCACAAGCGGUGGAGCAUGUGGUUUAAUUCGAUGCAACGCGAAGAACCUUACCUGGUCUUGACAUAGUAAGAACUUUCCAGAGAUGGAUUGGUGCCUUCGGGAACUUACAUACAGGUGCUGCAUGGCUGUCGUCAGCUCGUGUCGUGAGAUGUUGGGUUAAGUCCCGCAACGAGCGCAACCCUUUUCCUUAUUUGCCAGCACUUCGGGUGGGAACUUUAAGGAUACUGCCAGUGACAAACUGGAGGAAGGCGGGGACGACGUCAAGUCAUCAUGGCCCUUACGACCAGGGCUACACACGUGCUACAAUGGUCGGUACAAAGGGUUGCUACCUAGCGAUAGGAUGCUAAUCUCAAAAAGCCGAUCGUAGUCCGGAUUGGAGUCUGCAACUCGACUCCAUGAAGUCGGAAUCGCUAGUAAUCGCGGAUCAGAAUGCCGCGGUGAAUACGUUCCCGGGCCUUGUACACACCGCCCGUCACACCAUGGGAGUUUGUUGCACCAGAAGUAGGUAGUCUAACCGUAAGGAGGACGCUUACCACGGUGUGGCCGACGACKKGGGU
rnacentral:rRNA from 2 species